AGCCAACUGUCAGAGACAGCCAAAAGAUAGGUUUUAUUUUUCCCCUUCGUACUGUGCUUGCUUAUAGUUACGCAUUUCUUAGAGAAGAGGGCAAAGAUCACUCUCUGUUGAUGGCUUGCUGUGAUCAUCCAGAAAUCUUCCAGAUGACCAAAUUAUAACUAUACAGAAAGGGAUAAGAAGAUGGAUACAAAUUGUGGCCUGUCAUGGUUUGGUGAAAAGAGCCUGCAAUGAACUAGAUGAUUCUACUGAGAAAUUUUCUACUAACUCAAUAAAUAUAAGGAAACUGGAUGAAGAAAGUCAAUGUCCUUCUGAGGCCUGUGCAUCAUCAACUUGUAACAGUGAUAUGGUUUGACUCUGUGUCCCCACCCAAAUCUCACCUUGAAUUGCAGUAAUCCCCUCAUGUCAAGGGUUGGACCGGGUGGAGAUAAUUGAAUCAUGAGACCAGUUUCCCCCAUGCUGUUUUGGUGAUAGUGAGUUGAGUUCUCACAAAAUCUGAUGGUUUUAUAGGAGCUUCCCCCUUUGUUGAGCACUUCUGCUGCCCUGUGAAGAGGUGCCUUUGCCAAUAUUGUAAGUUUCCUGAGGCCACCCCACCCAUGAGGAACUGUGAG
rnacentral:lncRNA from 1 species